GCCAUUUUGCUUGUGGGCUGCCGCCCGCCGUUGCCUCUCCGCGGAGGCUCGAAGAUAGCAAACUGGAGGCGGUGAGGGGGACGGAAUCUCUGUCUUUCUGACAACAGAUGCAUUCAACAAUCCACCGAAGGUUUGAGGAAGUGUCGGUAUUCGGUGGGACUGGUUCUUUCCCCCUUUCCCCCAGUGGCCCUCAAGUCUGGAUAUAGGUGAGCUUGGGCAUGCCAGUAUUGGGUGCACGAACAAGGACAGCAGGGCUUGGGAACGAACUCCCUCCCGUCACCCUCCGAAAGCGAUACACCUUCUCCCCCUCCCAAACAACCCCAGUCCCGUCUCCCCGUUCCUCUCCCCCUCCUCCCCCAGCCCAGUCUGGCCUCCAGCGCUGGGUGAACCCGGUUGGGGUGUCACUCGACGCCCACUAGGGGCUGAGGAGGCUCCAGUGCGCAGGCUCCGGGCACCGGAUAAAAGCGGAGCUGGCGAGUCUAGUGCUGUCUCGAUGGAGGAGCAAGAAACGGAAGAGGUCGGGGGGAGAAGCAGCCGGAAAAAUGCAGCCACCGUCAACGCCGCCUCCCUGCCACCGUGCUUCGGGGUAAAAAGCUGCCGUUGCCGUCGGUGCAGUUGCCGUCGCUGCCUCCUAUACUUCUCUUGGCCUCGGGGAAGGAUUUCCCCACCGGUGGGACAAUGUGCGGGGAGGGGAGUGGGAAUUCCUUUAUAUGGCGGUGAUUAAACGAGGGAGGGACAGACAGUGAUCUCGAAGAAAAAAGGGGGAGACCAAAGAAUAAAAGAAGGGUUUCCCCACUAAAAUGACACGGCGAUUCCGGCUCUUGUUUUGGGGGUCUUUCCCCGAAAUGGUUUCCGUCUUCCCCUUGCCCCGCAGCGACCCAGAGCGCUGGGGGAAGCGGAGUGGGGAGAGGCAGAGGCGGUCUCGGCAGCCAAUCAGCGCCUGAUGUGUCCUGUCGGGCGCGUCGUGGUUGGCUGGCGAUGACCUCAUCCUGCAGCAGCGGGUGGGGCCAAAGCCGUAGGGGGAGGCUGUUGCAAAGGUAGAGAGGGAGAAGUGACGAUGGUGAUCGUUGCUGCCGCGGCCGAUAUGGAACCCAAGCAGUGGCGAAGGGAAUCGCAAGGCUCUUCCCUGACCAUUUUCUACUGUCCCUGCGCGAGGUGAGGGCCCCGGCUCGGCCUCUGCAAAACUUUGGGGCGCUGGCGCGGAGGAGGAGACAGGAUUUCUCCCGUGACUUUUGUAACUGCGUCAGGGCAAGAUGGCGCUGGGUCUCUUUGGGGCGCGGGGGGAGAGGCACGUCCACCGCCGCAGCGCAUGUGACCGGGCUGCAUUCCUGUGGGGUUUGGCUCCGACCCAGGCCGGGGCGGGGGAGGGGACAGGGCUUGGGCGGAGGAGACUGUGGUGCGGUCGGCGUUGGCGGCCUGAAGAGGAAGAGAUGACUGUUGGAAAGCGUUCCCCUCCCCCAUACGGCAGAACAGCUGCGGCUCCCAGGGGAAAGCCCCCGCAGGACAGUCCUCGUGGGGUGUGACGGCUGUUGGUGGAGAAGGUUUGGCGCCCUAUUUUCUUAUCUGCCUUUCUCCCCGCAAAGUAUACUUAUGUAAGGUGGUAGUUCCCUGACGUGGGACUCGGAAUCAACUAGGAGUCCUUGAGGGCCUCUGGGAGGCCUAGCGAGGGGUAGACCAGCUUCUGGGGGUACAACGUCAAGGAGGAUCGAUUACUUUCUGAGGAAACAGUUUCUCAGAUUGAAAUAGAAAAGUAUUUCCAAAGUUUGGAAACAAAUUUAAAGGUGUAAAUAACACCCAGGAACACUUUAAUUGCUUUGAAAAGGCAUAAGCAGCCAUCUGAAUUUAAGGGCCCUUUUCAGACUCUUCCUUCCUCCUGUGAUUCCUGUUCUUUAUUUCAGUUUUCUGUCUGUACAUCCCUUAAGAAUAUAGUUUUGUCGGUGGGAUUCGCUCUUUUGUGCCCAGGCUGGAGUGCAGAGGCGAGAUCUCGGCCCACUGCAACCUCCGCCUCCCCGGGUUCAGGCGAGUCUCCUGCCUCAGCCUCCCAGGUAGCUGGGAUUACAGGCGCCCACAACCACACCCUGCUAAUUUUUUCUAUUUUUAGUAGAGACGGGGUUUCACCCCAUUGACCAGGCUGGUCUCGAACUCUCGAGAUCCGCCCGUCUCAGCUUCCCAAAGUGCUGGGAUUAUAGGCAUGAGCCACCGCGCCGGGCCUGCUUUUUUUUUUUUUUUUUUUUUUUGCACUGGGCAUUAGUAAUACGGAAUAAAAGCCGUGUUUUAAACUGUAUUAAGUUGUAAGACUUUUCAGUACUUUCAAGUCUGCUUUCUUUCUGUUGCCCUUUUGUAGUUUUUAAAAAUAAAAGAUGCAAUUAUAAGCACUUCCGGUGAAUAUUAUUCCUUAAGGUUCCUGCAUCAUCAUGAAAUUUGAAGCACUUUUAUAGUAGUACAAACUAUACUUUUAGCUUUUGAAAUCUCGAUAGGAGAAAAUAUCCAGCAGUUUUAGGGGCUAUUUUGGCAUAUUCAUUAAGGUAGACUAAGUUUGUUUUUCGUUUUUCCCACUUAGCCAAACUAGUUAAAGUAGUCAAAACUAGCAAAUAAUUUUUAAAGGGCUUCUCCUUUUGGGUGGUGUAGAGGGUGGGGAGUUAUUCAACAAACACAUUUGCAGCCAAAAUCUGGCCUACUUCUUGGCAGAGCGCUUAUACUUGGUGCUACGAGAAAAUGAUUGCUGGACCUGAAAAGAACCUGAGGUCAAGGUUGUGCUAUUUCCUUAAGUCUUAGUUGUAGGCUCUUGGUAGUUUGAAAACAAGAUUGGGUUUUUAAUUCAUUUGUGUAUCCUUAAAUCCUCACUAGUUUUUGUGGAUUUCUUUUUUCAGUUAUAAGCAACUGAAUGUGGAUGAGCUAUAAAUAUUUAGUACAAAGAAUGUAAUUUGUCCACUCUGAAUAGAAAGUAAGCAUUAAGAACUCUUGAAUGUCUUCAAGGGUUACUUUGUUACGUGUAAGAUGUCUCCCCUUCCUUCAUAGCAGUUUUUAUUCCUGCUUAAAAAGGGAACUAAAUAUGAAGUCAGUAGAUUUUAAGGUAAUUUUCAGAAUGUUUCUACUUUCACCGUGCCUUAAUAAGGAAAAAAGGCCAUUUUCCAAGCGAAUGGAAACACCCUUUCCUUGUUUUGUGCCUUUAAUCAGCGUGUACCUUCAUUGUUCCUGAUUGCCAAAUCCACGAACUUCUUGAGCUCUCAAUUUUUCUUGACUUUCCUAUGGCAUUUUAAAUACUGUUCAUACUUGGAAUUACUUUUCUUUGACUGCCUUCAUACAUUCAUAUAUUCUGCCUGGGCAAUUUCAUUUGGGCCUAUUAUGUUCCAAUACCUCUCCAAUUUUCACCUCCAUCUUAGCUCUGCCAGCUUCAGUGCCACAGGUAGGCAAUGUAAAAGUUUACUGGGGACCACAGGCUUUCUGAGCUCAAUAAAAAUACUAAGCUUGGUACUUGUUUUUUAAGAAUUUUCUUCCCCCAUCCCCUCACAAAGAUUAUUUGAGUAAAUUACACCCCAACCUCCUUUUCCUUGUUUUUGUUGAAAUUAUUGUCUCUUAACUUUGGAACAUUGCAGUUGCGGUAAGCUUACUAGGUUCACAUAGCAUAUCUUCUGGUGUGUUAAAAUUAAAAUGCACACCAUCUCAAAAGUGCUAUGCCAUUUCAUACCUUUGUGCUUUUGUCCUGCUACCUGGAGUGCGUCUUUCUCACUUCUGGAUAAUACAAUUUGAACCUUUUCUUUGCCUCUUGAAACUGCAAAAUCCCUACUCGCAAGUAAAUGUGUCAUUCUUUAUGUUGAUAACCCAGCCUAGUGCUUGACACUUGAUGGGCAUUCAGGUAUACAUGGUUUUUUAGAGAUUGAUAAGAUUAACUGUGCAGUCUAUAAACUGUAAAUACUGGCUUUUAAACUCUUUUAAAGGAGCUCUUUUGAUAAACAAUUUGGAUAAGAGAUGAAAGGUUAGGGAGGCUCCAGGCAAGGCAGAAGACUGCUGAUGGCCCAGAGAUAGUUCUGCCCCAAAAAGGUGGGAAGAAGAAAAAAACUGAGCUGGAUAUUUUUAAGGAAAUAUAUUUUAUAGCAUUUUUCUUUAAUGCCUAGUUUUGCUGCAAGCACUGAAGUUUAUCCUGCAUUUGUAUUUCUUAUUUGAAAAAGAAAUGGCCUUUGGGGUUUGUUUUGUUUUUUGUUCCUUUGUAAGCACACUGCAAAAGCGGCGUUGUCAGCGUUGUCUUUUGAGGUAUCAAACGUGCUUUCAGUCAGCAAAUAUCUUGUAUAUAGUACCAUUCCUAAUAAACUAAAUUGGUUAUCAACCUAAUACAAACGGUACUUCAUACAACUUAAGCCUAAACUAGAUUAGAUUAUGUAGAAACUUAUUCUUAGAGAAUAUAUCGCCUUAAUAUUUCUUAUCCUGAAAAGAGUAUUUCUUAAGUGCCCCUCUCAAAGUAUAUCGAUUAAUAUUUGUCUCAAAUUUAAAACUAUAUCCUGGUUUUUCCCUUACAGUUGUUUAGCAAGUAAAUGUUUACUUACUAAUUUAUUUUCUCCCAGACUUCAUUCUACCAGUUUAAGCUUAGCUCAGUUUUGUUUUUUGGUUUUGAGAAGGAGCUUUGCUCUGUCACUCAGGCUGGAGUGCAGUGGUACGUUCUCAGCUCACUGCAGCCUCCGGCUCCUGGGUUCAAGCGAUUCUCCUGCUUCAGUCCGUGAGUAGCUGGAACUACAGGCGCACACCACCACGCCCAGCUAAUUUUUGUAUUUUUAGUAGAGACAGGGUUUCACCAUGUUGGCCGGGCUGGUCUUGAACUCCUGACCUCAGGUGAUCUGCCUGCCUCAGCCUCCCAAAGUGCUGGGAUUAUAGGCGUGAGCCACCGUGCCCAUCCUAAACUUAGCUCAGUUUUAAUGCUACUUCCAUUUCUUUAUGUAUAGUUUGAUGUAAGAAUAACAGUUGGAAGUAAGGAUUUAGGAAUAACAAGAGUUUGGGAUUUUUGUUUUUUUAAUUAGCAAGGUAAUGCCACAUCAGGUCAUUAGUGACAUUAAUGAGAGAACAGGGGAAUUAUUGGAAAGUCUUGACUUAAGGCCAGACGAGAAAUCCUUAACUGCUAGUGUGACUUCCCUCCCCACAAAAGAGAAUGCUCUCGUAAUACACCGAACUGUUGGAUGCUGUUGUAUAUACUUUAUAUAUAAUCUUACCCAAGGUGGCAGAGCAUUAACUUUAACAUCUGUCUCCCUGACCUCACCAGAGUUCAUAAUCUUUGCCCUACUUACACUGUCUGAAGGAUGACUUGGCCUUUUUUUUUUUUUUUUUUUUUUUAAUUGAGACAGAGUCUUGCACAGUUGCCCAGGCUGGAGUGCAGUGGCACGAUCUCGGCUCACGGCAGCCUCCACCUCCUGGGUUCAAGUGAUUCUCCUGCAUCACCCUCCCCAGUAGCUGGGAUUACAGACGCUUGUCACCGCGCCUGGCUAAUUUUUGUAUUUCGGGGUUUCGCCAUGUUGGCCAGGCUGGUCUCGAACUCCCCACCUCAGGUGAUCCGCCCAUCUUGGCCUCCCAAAGUGCUGAGAUUACAGGCAUGAGGUGUGGCACAGGACAGAGAAAGACUUACUUUAAAACAUACCUGUCUUCAACCCAGAAGAGACUGGCUUUUAGAGCCCUCAAUGUAGCAAGAAGAGCCUGAAUCAGAGCAGGAGUGAUAAAGAAGGAAUCUAAGUUAUUACAGAAACAUCCGUAAUUGUUGCCUGGGUGGGUAUAAGGAAGAAGAAGGAAUUGACUUUCAAGAAAAAUAAUUGACAUUUGAUAGUCUUCACAGAUAAAAGCCAAAACAGGGUAGAUUCAGUCUUAAUAGGAGACAAAUUUAGCAAGAAAGCUGAGAUCUUGGGUCGGUCUACAUUUUAGGCCAAGGAAAAGGAACUGAUUGCAUUUGUUUUUUAAGAUAGAUUAUACGCCAGUGCAUAACAUAUUUAACCUAAGUCUGAUUAGCUUUAUAAUAAUUUUUAAAUUAUUCAUAACUAUCCUAAGCAAUACCUUUUAUUGUUAGAUUAUUAUGUAAUGCCCACAAAUGAUAGAUAGCAUUUGAAAGUAAUUGCUGGCUGAUUAUAGGCAUGGUGGCUUAUGCCUAUAAUCCCAGCACUUUGGGAGGCCAGGGUUGGUGGAUCACAUGAGGCCAGGAGUUCAAGACCAGCCUGGCCAACGUGGCAAAACUCUGUCUCUACUAAAAAUACAAAAUAAUUAGCUGGGCGUAGUGGUGCACAUCUGUAAUCCAGCUACUCAGGAGGCUGAGGCAUGAGAAUUGCUUGAAUUGGGGAGGUGGAGGUUGCAGUGAGCUGAGAUCGCACCACUGCAUUCCAACCUGGGGGACAGAGUGAGACCCUGUCUCAAAAAAAAAAAAAAAAAAGGAAUUGCAAGUAGCCUGUAAUCCCAGCACUUUUAGGAGUCCGAGGCAGGAGGAUCACUUGAGACCAAGCUGGGCAACAUGAUGAAACCCCUGUCUCUACAAAUAAUUUUUUUAAAAUAUUAGCCAGGUGUCUGGCACACGCCUGUAGUCCCAUUUACUUAGGAGGCUUAGGUGGGAGGAUCACCACUUGAGGCCAAGAGAUCAAGAUCAGCCUGGGCAACAUAGCAAGACCCCCACCUAUAGGAAAAUAAAUCCGAGCGUUCCAAGUGUUCAGCUAUUCACCCACUUUAGGUUUCCACCUUCCUUAGAAAGUAGAGUAGUAUAAAUUAUUUCUGAAAUUUGUGAAACGAUGUACCACAUAACCCUCUCAAACCAGGUUGCUACUACUUCCAAUGACUUCAUUGAUAAGGGGCAAAGUAACUCGAAUGAUGGGUGAGCUCAUGACAUGGUUUAGCUCCGUAUCAAACUCUGGAUUUGGGAAAAUUGCUACUGAUUUAUUAAACACUUGAAUUCUUAUAUGCUAGGUCAGAAUUUGGCAACUAAACUCUCAGAAAUUUGUAAACUUCCUUUUUACAUAGAAAAGUGAAUCCAGGCUGGGUAUGGUGGCACGUGCCUGUAAUCCCAGCUGCUCAGGAGGCUGAGGCAUGAUAAUUGCUUGAACCUGGGAGGUGGAGGUUGCAGUGAGCCCAAGAUUACACUGCUGUACUCCAGCCUGGGCAACAGAGGGAGGCUCUGUCUCAAAAAAAAAAAAAAAAAAAAAAAAAGUGAAUAUACUGUACUGUAAAGCCUGUGCACCUCUUCAUCACACAUAAUUGCCUGUACAUUAUGCCCAGUGCCUGGCCCCUAUUGGAUUUCUGACAAGCUUUAAUGUUGUUAGGUUAAGAGAGAACCUGUUCCUCAAGUUUAGUCUUAUCUCUAGUAUUUAAAUUUUUCAUGAAGGAAGGCUGUGCUAAGGCGAUACUUCAUUCCUGAAGAACACUUACUUAAAUAAGUAAUGUUCAAUUAAUUUUCCUCAUUCUAUGAAAAACUUGAAAAGGCAACAAAAAUAUUCACUAUUCUCUGGUUCAUUUGAUAACAAUAUUGUGGUAGUCUAGGCAUCUCUCCCAUGUCCCAAGCACAGCUUAUCUGACCACAUCUAUACAACAGACAUUCUGUAGCGACUCUCUUUGUUCUAUUCCAUGCUCCUACUUUAUGGCCAGUGAAAGGGCAAAUGGAAGUCAAAAGGGUAAGAGGACACGUUAGAUAGCUUUGAUUGAAGCAUUCUUUUAGAAGUUAAAUGACUGAAAAAGGUUUUACAAAUGACAUCGAGUCAAGGGUUCAUCUGAAAGUAUCUAAAAGUUAACUAGUUCCCUUUCUCCACAAACUCUGCCCAUGUAGGUAAGUUUUAUUUUUCUGAGGAAUAAGAAACAUAUGCAGUUAUUUGCAUUUAUAAUAUUUUGUGAAAGUUCUGUAUUUUCUUGUUUUUUUUGAGACGGAGUCUCUGUCACCCAGGCUGGAGUGCAGUGGUGCAAUCUCAGCUCACUGCACACUCUGCCUCCUGGGUUCACACCAUUCUGCUGCUUCAGCCUCCCGAGUAGCUCGGACUACAGGCGCCUGCCACCAUGCCCGGCUAAUUUUUUGUAUUUUUAGUAGAGAUGGGGUUUCACCGUGUUAGCCAGGAUGGUCUCGAUCUCCUGACCUUGUGAUCUGCCCGCCUCGGCCUCCCAAAGUGCUGGGAUUACAGGCGUGAACCACCGCGCCCGGCCAAAAGUUCUGUAUUUUUAUGAGCUCCAGGUGGUCUUAUAUAACCCAUAGCAUUUGAUUCCUAAGAAUACAUCCUCUUGGCCAGGCGCAGUGGCUCACACCUGUAAUCCCAGCACUUUUGGAGACCAAGGCGGGCAGAUCACAAGGUCAGGAGUUUGAGACCAGCCUGACUAACAUGGUGAAAUCCCGUCUCUACUAAAAAUAGAAAAAUUAGCUGGGUGUGGUGGCGCACGCCUAUAAUCCCAGCUACUCAAGAGGCUGAGGCAGGAGAAUUGCUUGAACCCGGGAGACAGAGGUUGCAGUGAGCCGAGACGCGCCACUGCACUUCCGUCUGGGCGACAGAAGGAAACUCCGGCUCAAGAAAAAAUAUAUAUAUAUCCUCUUAAAACUCCUUUGCUUUUAUGCUAAUACUCUUAACUAGUUGAUUUCUUCAGCUUCUUAAAUGUUGGAUUUCCCAGUGUUGUGUCCCCACCAAUGUUACGUUAUCCAUUUUACUAACUGCAAUAAUCAAUUCCCAUACCUUUACCUGUCGAUGACUCUAGAAUUUGUAAUCUCUGAACUCAACUGAAACUACUAAAUACAUUACUUGUCCUAUGAAGUACCUCAAACUAAACAAAUUUAAAACUGACCUUGGCCGGGCACGGUGGCUCACACCUGUAAUCCCAGCACUUUGAGAGGCUGAGGCGGGCAGAUCACUUGAGGUCAGGAGUUCGAGACCAGCGUGGCCAGCAUGGCGAAACCCCAUCACUACUAAAAAUACAAAAAUUAGCCAGGCAUGAUGGCACGUGCCUGUAAUCCCAGCUAUUUGGGAGGCUGAGGUGAGAGAAUUGCUUGAACCUGGGAGGUGGAGGUUGCAGUGAACCCAGAUCACGCCACUGCACUCCAGCUGGGGCAACAGAGCAAGACUUUGUCUCAAAACAAAACAAAAAAAACCUUUCUUUAGAUAAUGGCUAAAACUAUUUUCUAGCUUCAUAAAAUCAAACACUUUUCCAAAAAUAUGUUUCCAGAAAAAUCUUUUUAACUUAAAAAACUGUUCAUUGACCAGAGAUUUGAGGGUCGAGUCAAAACACACUGUGACGUGCCAGGUCCUUCAUCUGACCCCUGCUUUAACCUCCCAAAGUGUUAGGAACAUCAUGAACGCUGCUUGGAACUAGAAUAAUCCAAGUUUGAAUACCACUUCCACUUCAAGGAAGACUUAGGUAGUUUGCUUUCUGGGACUCAGUUUUAUAAUCCAUACAGCAGGUAAAAUAUUAACUAUAUAAUGGCGUUAAGAAUUAAAUUAGAUAUAAAACCUUUCAGGAGCAAUUAUUGAUUUGUAAUCCCAAUUUUUUUUGGUCCAGAAAAUAAGACAUUCCCUUCUAUUUGUUAACAUGUGUUCCUAUCAUGCUGUCAUGUUCAUGUUCCUCUUUUCCAUUAGUAUAUGAGAUCUUGAUAGACACAAUGUUUUUCAUCUUUAUGGCUGAAGUGCACAGUUCCUGGCAUGUAAUAGGCAUGCAGUUUUGUUGCACAAAUGAAUAGAUAAUCUGCUUUGAUGCCAGAUGCCUGAAAAUGUUGCCCAUAGUAUGUGUUUAUUACAAUAGAAAGUCCCUUGAAUAUAAAAUUUGAUGCAAAUGGUCUGGUUGAUUCUAUACCAUCAUCUUGUAAGACUUCAGAGGGUUUUCCCACACUUUUCAAAAACAUGUAUCUAUUUUGUUGCAAGCUAGAAGGACUAGUCCCUACUCUAUUCAUUUAUAAUCUAGUUUGGGAUUAAGCCACAUCAGUAAGUAACCAAGUACUGUAAGCAUUCAGCCAGAUAUCCCAGUUCAUGGGGUAAUGUGUUUCACAGAGGAAAUAGAAUUUUUGGAUUAGGAGGCAGAUAGUUCUGGGUUUCAUUAGGGAAAGGGUGGGGCAGUAGAGUACAACAUAUUUGCAGUCAGCAUGGUUUUAUGUGUAAAGGCAUAAAACAGUAACAGAGACAAUGUUUUAAGUAAACCAAUUUCACUGGGCUUGUGUGACCUAGUACAUUGAGAGAUGAGACUGGAAAGGGGGCGGAUUGGACCACAUAAUUUUAUUUUAUUUUUAAUUUGGAGUCUUUUUUUCUGUGAGUCUUAGGCCACUACUUUCUCUAUUUUGUUUCUUUUAUAUUUAAGGAAACAGUCUCAGGGAAAUGACUGACUGAGUCGCAGUGUAAUGGGGGACAGAGCCAGGCCUGAACCCCUAAAUAUUGCUGUUCUACCUCUAAGUUGAAAAUAGGACAGUCAGUAAAGAGUCUGUUGUAUACUGGGUUAUAAGAUCUCAUUUCUAAUCUAACUUGGAUGGAAUCAAGAUUAGAAAAAGUACUUGAUUCUUACAUUUUUUUCUUCCUUGUUGUACAUAAAAAGAGAUUGGCCUGGCACAGUGGCUCAUGACUAAUCCUAGCACUUUAGGAGGCAGAGGUGGGUGGAUCCCUUGAGUCUAGGAGCUCAGAAUCAGCCUGGGCAACAUCGUGAAACCCCGUGUCUACUAAAAAUACAAAAAUUAGCUUGGCGUGCUGGCAUGCUCCUGUAAUCCCAGCACUUUGGGAGGCUGAAGCAAGCGGAUCUCUUGAACCUGGGAGGCAGAGGUUGUAGUGAGUUGUGAUCACGCCACUGCACUCCAGCUUGGGCAACAGGGCAAGACCCUGUCUCCAAAGAAAAGAAAUGAAAUGAAAUUAGGAGCAAGCAUGAGUUUUAAGUGUCAGACUUCCUUUCCCAGUACACUCACCUACUACAGGCUGCAUGAUCUUAUUACUUCACUGAACUGUUUCCUUAUCUGUAAAUUGUUUGAUUAUCUACAAAUGUGUAGCUUGCUACCUGACAGCAUUAGAUAUUGGAUAAUUGGUUGUCAUUGCUAUUAAUAAACACGGACUUAGAGAGUUCUUGAAGUUUUAGUUUUAUGCUGAGAAUCCAUGUAACACUGGCAAUCUGUGUCUAUACCUGUAUCUAUAGCAAAAGCCAGAAUUUACCACAAAUUUUGCUGUUGUAUCAGGAAAUACAUCUUGACAACUGAUACUUAUUCUUAAUAUUAUUAUUCUGUUAUUUCUUAUUCUAGGCCCCAAAAACUUUUAUUAAAAUGCUUCAAAUUUUAGGUUAGCAUUUUUGUUGAUGUUUGGACAUCUUAAAUUCAUUAUACUCAUGCAAAAUUUUUUUUUUUUUUUUUUUUUGGAGACAGGGUCUCUGUCACCUGGGCUGGAAAAUAUAUCUUUAUAGUUUUAUGCACAUUUGGCAAUCAGCAGAAAUAAUAAAUUGUUGUACUAUGUCUAUGCUUUGCUAUCUUUAUGUGACCAAGACAUUACUGUGAAACUGAAUACUAUCUGGCCACAUAUAUAACCAUUGCUAUUAAGAAAGUUAUGAUUGUGACUUGGAAAUAGUCAUAUGGAGACAGUUCUGAUUUAAUUCCCAGGUAACUUUCAUAUUCUCACCAUUUUGCAGUGUGCAUUUCAAAAUAAUUUUUCAUAUCAAUUUGUAGAUGUGGGAACACAUCGAUUAGAAAGCUGAAGCUAACUUAUUCUCAGAUAACAAUCAUUUAAUUGUAACAUUGAAUUUUAAGAGGAAAAAUACAGUAUGCUGUCUUGUCUUUUUCUGCCCUUUCUUUUCCAUGUAUGGCUGGUUCAUGUUUUGCUUUAAUAACAUUUUUUGCCUGGGCAAAUGUCCAUAUUAUACAUUCUGAUCACUUUAAUUCCAUCACCCUUGAAAUUUUAAAAAGCAAACGUUUGAUUUAGUGGCUUUUAAGUUAAAAAAUAUUUAUCGACAUCUCUCAUCAUUUUAUCAGCUUCGUUGGUACUUAACAUGGUAGUUCUACUUUAUGAAAGAAGCCCGUCACUAAAAUACAACAUUCAAAAUUAAAACAUAAAUUUUCAUAAAUUUCACAGUGCUUUUUUGUGUUUGUUCUAGAAACCGUAUCUCACUCUGUGGCCCAGGCUAGAGUUCAGUGGCAGGGCAGUCAUAGCUCAUUGUAACAUAGAGCUCCUGGGUUCAAGCCAUCCUCCACCGUCAUCGUCUCCAGUAGCUAGGAAAGGCAUGUGCCACCAAGCCUGGCUAAUUUUUAAAAGAAUUUUUGUAGAGGUGGGGUCUUGCUGUGUUGCCCAGGCUGGCCUGAAGCAGUUUUCCUGCCUUGACCUCCCAAAGUAUUGGGAUUACAGGCAUAAGCCACCACACCAGGCUAUAAGAGUGCAUUUUUAAAAAAGAUAAAAAUGUCUAAGCCCUGUUUGAGUUGUAAGGUGUCAUCAGAUAUGAUGCUGGGUAUAUCAGCUUAUUCCUUUCUUCUGAAGGUUGUUUUUAUGCUAUCUUAAUGAACCAUCAAAGGUUCUGAAAUCAAACAUUUUGAAAAUACUUGACUUACGGCCAUUUUAUAUCAAGUGUAUAUGCUUUUAUUGUUUGUGUGCUUAAAACUGGUUAUUUUCAUGAAUGUACUUUCUAUGGAUCGCUAAAGGUCAGAACCAGCUAAGAAUGAAAAUGAGUACCAUUUAUACUUACUGUCAGCUGAACACUUGCAUUAUUUUUACCUUUAUGGUGUAUCUUACAGAAAUUAGUUUUUAGGUCGUGGUUUCAUACAUAGCAGAGCAGCUCCCUCCCUGCCAUCUAUUCAAAGUCAGCCCUGGACACAGGGUUUGUCCACCCCCUCGCGCAUGCCUGGCGUCUCCGUUGCCAUCCGUCUCUCUUACUUCCUCCCUCUCAAACUCCCUCCCAACACCCCUGGGGGCCUCCUUCCCUGGUCCACGCUUGCCCACCCUCUCCGGGAUCCCAGAGCAAGUGGCGGGUAUCUCGUCGAAAAGCGCCCGUCUCCAUCCGAUGCCUUUCCAAGCUGGCGGUGCUCAGGGGCAUGGUGCCAUGCUGGGGGUGGCCGAGGUUGCAGGGGUGCCCAUGCUUGGUGUCCCACCUCUCUAGUUCUAGUCUCCUCCCCCAACCCUACUAGGGGCUUGUCCCUGGUCUGGGACAGGCUUGGAAAGUGUGGCGCGAGUAUGGCUGAGGCGUGGUUGUUUGAGGGUGUGACCCUGCAGUCCCUGUCCCAGGGAUAGGGGUGGCCGUGUGGCCCAGGGGUGGCCGAAAGUGGCACUGGGGUCCAGCCCUCUCCCACUCUGUGGUGGAGUGGGGCAGUCACUGCCCUUGAGCCCUUUUAAAAAAAAAAAGAAAUUAGUUUUUAGUGAUAGGAGAGAGAAUCUUUUUGCCAAUGAGGUAGUUGAGAUAAAUUGAGAUAACUCAGAUAUAGGUACUAUAUUUUCCUGGGUAUUAUCAAAUUUGAUCUUUUUUUAUCUAUCAAAUUGGAUUCAUAUGAAUCAAUUUAUUCAAAUAAGUGGUUACAUUAAGUUUUUUUUUUUGUUUUCAGUACUUUAUCCUGUGUCUUGCUCUCAUGGGUAAUCCUUAACGUAGUCACCUAAGUUUUAGUUCCCAUUCUUUUCCAUCCUCCUCCUUUUUUCCAUCCCUGUACUCUCCAGACUUCCCUCUGGAUCAACUAUGCAAUUUCUGUAUGUUAAUGUAACAACAUAUACUCCUUCUGCAAAUAUUAAUAGAUGUAUGUCAUAGUGUUCUAAAUUUGUUAUCUUUACCCCUGGGGGCAAGAAUUCGUUUUCUUUUUAACUGGCAAGUCAUACUUUGGUACUAUAGGAAGCCCUCAAGCCUCUGUGACCAGAGGUUAGCAUAGGGAAAUUGAGACAUUUUAAAACGUUUUUCAUAUUAAGGUAUGAAGAAAACUGACCUUCAUUGUACUUUGGUAGUAGACCGCUUCCUAAUUCAUUCCUUUAGGUCCAAGUAGCCUUCUCUGAAAUUAAAAACAAAACAAAACAUAUUGAAAAAGAUUGUAGGGUGAAGUUAUAUGCCAUCAAAAUGAUGAUGACAUACAGGUAUUUUUGUGUAUCUCUGUCUUUUUUGACAACCAAUCAAAUUGAAUUUUUUUUUUUUUUGCCAGUUAAAUAGAAACUGGUGGCCAGGUGUAAUGGCUUAUGCCUGUAAAUCCCAGCACUUUGGCAGGGGCCAAGAAGGAUGGAUUGCUUAGCUUAAGAGUUCAAGACCAGCCUGUGCAACAUGGUGAGACCCUGUCUCUACAAAAAAUACAAAAAUUAGCUAGGUGCAGUGGCGUAAGCCUGUAGUCCCAGCCACUCCAGAGGCUGAAGUGAAAGGAUUUCUUAAGCCCCAGAGGUCAAGACUGCAGUGAGCCAUGUUCCUGCUAUUGCACUCCAGCCUAGGUAACAAAGCAAGACCGUUUCUCAAAAAAUAUAUAAGUAAAUAAAUAGAAACUAUCAAAUUAUUUUCAAGGAUAAGGAAGGACUAAUCAGUAGUUUAGUCAGAGGCCUAGAUCAAAACAUAACAUGUAUUUUUAAAUUAAUCUCUUUAAAUGCAUGGUUAAGUUACCUGUAUAUGUGCUCAGUAAAAUCGGUCAUUUGUGGGGAAAAAAAUGGCUAUUUGGUUUUCUAUGCAUAAAAUUAAGAUAGAAGUCUUUUUCCUCCUAACAGCCUUCAUCAUAGUGGAUUUAAAAAAACCAGUGUCACUUAGGCUGUGUCUUAUUUGUUUCUAAAACAAUGGAACAAGUCAGAUGUUUGUGGAAUACAUUUUAUAUUUGCAAAUAAAGUAAAAAUUUUUUCUUGCCUUUUUUAUGAAAUAACUAUAAUUUGUGUGAAGAUUAAAAUACUCUAAAACAUGAAUUGACAAAGCAAAAUGAAGGAGCCAGAUUUCAAAAUCAAGUUGUGGGGUGAGGCAUGAGGAUGGGAAGAAGAGAAUUAAGCAUUGAUAUAUGGAGUUUUAAUUUAUUUCCUUAAAAUUCAUAGUGAAAAGAAUAAGAUUUUGGGGGGGAGGGCACGGAAUCUCACUCUGUCUCCCACGCUGGAGUACAGUGGUGCAAUCUCGGCUCACAGUAACCUCAGCCUCCUGAGUAGCUGUAACUACAGGUGCCUGCAACCACACCUGGCUAAUUUUUUAUUUUUAGUAGAGACAGGGUUUCACCAUGUUGGCCAGGCUGGUGUGGAACUCCUGACCUCAGGUGAUCCGCCCACCUCGGCCUCCCAAAGUGCUGGGAUUACAGGCGUGAACCACCGCACCUGGCCAAAAUUUGGUACUUUAUAACUCAAUAAUUGCAACCAGACCAGCUAACUUUUUGAAAACUUGGGGCUCUGUAAUGUUCAGAUGAAGGUAAAUGUAGGGAAUAGACCCUCUUUAGAUUGAGGGAGUAGGAGUUUUGACAUCACAGGUCGUUUGGACUUAAAGGUAUGAAUUUGAAAGUAGUUUGGUUAUACAUGUCCUUUGCAACCUAGCCUCUCUUUCAUUAGCGGAAUUAAUUUUGGUGGAGGGAUUCAUUCAUAUUGUUAGUAUGUAUCGAGGGAGGCAUUGUAUACCAGAAGGCUUUGAACUGGUUGGGAGAAGUGUUCUUAUAAGAACAGGGUAAUUAUUAAUCAUAAUAAUCUUUGUCAAGGUGCCUAAGUAACUCCCUUAUGUAAUAGCAGCCAGUGAUUAGAUAGCUUCACAUCAAGCAGGUUGGAUUUGUUCCUUUUGAAUCAAAGAACCCUUUGCUUCAUAAUCUAGGUCUUGUGUCUCACCGAAUCCUUUAUAAUAUAGAAUAAAUGGUUGAAAGGAAAGGCUCACAUUCUGUAUUCCUGAAAUUCAAAUAGGAUAACUUUCUCAAAGUUUUAGGAUAGACCAAAUAAUGUAUGUCCAUGUAGCUCUAAGAUAUGAGUCAACAAAGCAAAAUAAUUAUGAAACUCUUGUGGGAUUUUUGGUAGAGUUUUUAUGGAGAUCCAGUGUAUAUGAGAAGCAAACUAAAGAGAGUUGCCAAGGGUUUUAGAGCCAGUCAAAUUCCUAGACUUUAGGAUUUGUUGAAUGAAUUGAAUGGAAACCAGUAUAGUUGUCAGUUUUAAGUUCACUCAGUAUUAGCAUUCAAUUAGAUACUGAGUUUUAAAAUAGUUUUUUUUUUUUUUUUUUUUGAGACAGAGUCUCACUCUGUUACCCAGACUGGAGUGCAAUGUUGCGAUCUUGGCUCACUGCAACCUCUGCCUCCAAGUUCAAGCAGUUCUUGCCUCAGCCUCCCAAGUAGCUGGGAUUAUAGGCGCCCACCACCAUGCCCGGCUAAUUUUUUACUUUUAGCAGAGACAGGGUUUCACCAUGUUGGCCAGGCUGGUCUCGAACUCCUGACCUCAGGUGACCCACCUGCCUCAGCCUCCCAAAGUGCUGGGAUUACAGGUGUGAGCCACGAAGCACAGCCUAAAAUGGAUCUUUUAAUACCAAAUAAGGACAUUGUCUUAUGAUUUAAAAAGUGUCUUUUUAAAACCUGGCUACAUUGUUCUUAUUCUCACUUUGCUAUAGAAUAAUGAAAAGUUAUCCAACAUUCAUUUUGGAAUAUUGUUUUGGAAUAAUUCAUGUAUCUCGGCUGUCUGAUUUUACCAACAUGGAAAGCAUAACUCAAAGACAAUUCUUUAAUCAGUUUUUAAAAUGAAACUACUUUUCUCAGCUGUUAAAAAAAUAGAUUUAUAAUAAUAGUCAUCAGCAUUCUUUUAAAUUGUGACAAGUUAGUCUUAGAAGGAUACAAAAAUGUAUAAAAGACUUGUGAAUUUCUGACAAAUUUAAAUUAGGAUAUGUCCAUAAAUAGCAAUUAAAAUUGUUUCCAAAGAGUUAUUUCAAAGCAUCACAUAUUACAAAAAAAUGGUGAAAAUAUAAAUAUAGGUCACAAUUUAUAGGACUUUUGUAUAUUGUGUAUGUUUCCAUAGAAAUAGGUAAAGGAAAUAAUGGUUUCUUUUUGGGUUAUAGGCUUACAGAUGGAUUUUCUAUAGCAGGCGUAUGUUACCAAAAAAAUGGGAAUGGGCUGAUGCUUGGAUAUUAACUUAAAAAUGGGAUACAAACUGGCCGGGCCUGGUGGCUCAUGCCUGUAAUCCCAGCACUUUGGGAGGCCGAGGUGGGUGGAUCAUGAGGUCAGGAGUUCGAGACCAGCCUGGCCAAGAUGGUGAAACCCCGUCUCUACUAAAAAUACAGAAAUUAGCCGAGCGCGGUGGUGGGCGCCUGUAAUCCCAGCCACUCGGGAGGCUGAGGCAGGAGAUUGCUCGAACCCAGGAGGUGGAGUGAGCUGAGAUCAUGCCACUGCACUCUAGCCUGGGCAACAGAGCAAUACUCUGUCCAAAAAAAAAAAAAAAUGGGAUACAAACUGAAAACAGUAUGGUCUCAGAUUAUCAGAAGCCUAGGAAUCAUCUUCCUUUCUUUAAUACCCAUGUUCCUUAUGUCCCUAAUGUCUGUUCUAACUAUAGUUCUUGGCCUAUCUCCCCUCGUUGUCUUCACUCCCACUGCCACUACUUUAAUUCAGGUCUGGAAAAGUGUAUUCAGUCACUCACUCUGAAUAUUUGCUAAAUACAUGAGUUUGUGUAUAGAACUGUGUAGUAACCUCCUAGCUUACCCUGGCUUUUAAUUUUUCUAAUCCAUCUGUUAACACUUCAAAGUGAUUUUACUUAAAUGUGUAUCUGAUAUUGCUUGAAAGCUUUUAAUGAAUCCCAUGAUCUGCCUCUUGCCUUUUUUUCCAAUCAGAAGUACCCAGUUGCUGCUGCUUUUGCUUCCAGCCAUAUUAAUACAGUUUGAGCAUCCCUAAUCUGAAAAUCCAAAAUCUGCAAUGUUCCAAAAUUCGAAACUACCAACAUGAUGCCACAGGUGGAAAAUUCCACACUUGACCUUAUGUGAUAGGUCACAGUCAAAACUUAGUGUCAUGCACAGAUAUUAAAAAUAUUGUAUAAAAUUACUUCAGGCAGUGUGCAUAAGGUGAAGCAUUUAUGAAACAUAAAUGAGCUUAUGUUUAGACUUGCAUCCCACCCCCAAUAUAUCUAUCUCAUGUAUAUGCAAAUAUUCCAAAAUCCAGAGCACUUUUGGUCUCAAGCAUUUCAGAUAAGUGAUACGCAACCUGUACUAUUAUCUCUUCAUAGAAUACCCCUGUCUAUUUUGUGAAUGCAAGUGUUUUUCUGUGUAGCCUUCUCUGAUCUUUUUCCAAUAAGUCUUAUUUUUUAUAAUUCCAUGUACCCCAGCUCUAUUAUAGCGCUUAACUGCAGUUUAUUACAAUUAUUUAUAGCCUCUUUACCCACUAGAACAGCAGUCCCCAACGUUUUUGGCACCAGGGACCAGUUUUGUGGAAGACAGUUUUUUCCCAUGGAUGGGAUGUGGGGGUGGUGGUGGUUUUGGGAUAAAACUGUUCCAUCUCAGGUCAUCGGGCAUUAGUUAGAUUCAUGAGAUUCUAAACUCCCCACUUUAUGUAACACUCUACUUCUUUCUUUUCAUUGAUAGAGAUAAUAUUUAUGCAUAUUUAGGGGCACACGCUCCUUAUUCUACUCCUGUAACAUAGUAGAACUUAUUCCUUCUAACUUUACUUUUGCACCACUUAACCAACUUCUAUACAUCCCUCCUUCCCCCACCCCACUUAAUAUAAGCAUCUUUUAUUUUUUAUUUUUGAGACAAAGUGCCUAUCUCAGGUCAUCGGGCAUGAGUUAGAUUCAUAAGGAGUUAGAUUCAUAGAUCCCUCACAUGUGAAGGUUCACAUUCCUAUGAGAGUCUAAUGCCACAGCUGAUUGGCAGGAGACAGAGCUUUGGGGGUGGGGGUAAUGCUUGUCCACAGCUCACCUCCUGUUGUGUGGUGGGGUAGGGGAGGGUGUUGGGGACCCCAGCACUAGAAUAUGAGCCCCUGAAGAGCAGAAUAUCUAACUUGCAUUGUCUCCCUCAGAUAAAAGGAUUCAGUUUAUUGUUAAACGGGUAGUGCCUGCAUUUGUACCUAGGACAUAGUAAGUGCUUAAGUAAAUUUUGAAUUAAUUGGGUCUGUUGUCUUUGGUGUAAGUAUAAAUCUGCAAAAUAUCUCCUAAACCUAGAUUGUAAAGAGAAGAAAGGUUAGAGAUGCAUUUCUGUAGUUAAUGAUGAUUAAUGUCCAAGAACGUAGCCAUCCUUAGUAAAGAAAAAAUAAUACCAAGAAAACAGUUGGGCAUAUAUUCCUCUUAGGUUUCAUCAGGCACAAUUAUCUUGAAAGACUAGCAAUCCCACAUGACACAUACCCUGGUACUCAUGUGUCCAUUGCAACUGUAAAGGUACUUUAACUUCAAGGGAACUUCAAAGAAGAGAACUUUCCCACAGUUCACUUUCUUAACAGUUCAGUGGCCUUAUUUACAGGAUGAAAGUUCAGGUAGAUUUUCUGGCAUCUUAUUUCAAAAGAAUAGAUACUGUCCUCCAAGUAUGGAUGCAGAGACAUCAACACUUACCAACAUGCAGCAACAGUCAUAGGAACUAAACAGAUUUGUAGCCCAAAAUGGCACUGGUAAAAAUACAUGUCAGUCUGCACAGAGAUUCUGAAUGAUUUACAAUUAACAGUAGAUGAUGAUGUUAAUACCUGUUUUUAAAAAGUUGAGUCCAUCAAUGUGCUAAUUAAUCCCUUCCACAACGCAAGCAAGUUUGUAUUCUUUGGAAAGAUUUGGCACCAAGUUAAAAGUCACUUCUAAGUUUUGCAAAAAUAAAUAAGUUGAUUUAUUCUGUUACAUAGAUACCAACAAAUUUCCAAAGUGGUAGUUGUAGGUACUACAUAAAGUACAAGUUUCCCUGCUAUGGACAUAUUAAAAUGCUGCAAGUUGGUAGUUCCCAAGCCGGUUUGAUCACCAUAAUCAUUUCUGAAACUUAUUAAAAUACUCUUAGGCUUCUUACCCACAGGUCCCAGAAACAAGAUGUUAGAUGUCAUCAUUCAUAAUUUUCUUACAGUGUAGCAAUUUUUGAAGAACCAUAUGCUGCACUAUUUAAUAAAAAUCUGCAUUUUUGACAAACCCCUCAUUCCCAGGUAUUUAAUUUGCAAAUGCUACAUUGAUAACACUGAUAUAUGGAAUGGAUUGCUUCUCUAAAAUGUCUGUGGAAAGCAACAGUGCAAAGACAUUAUAUUUUCAUUUCUUUUUGGGGGAGUGUUACUGUAAUAUUAGACAUCCGACCUGAGAAGUUUGGAGGUACUAUUGCCAUGAACCAUUUCUUCCGUAAUUCAAAAGUUAUCUUUGAAGUGACUCUGAUUACCUGGGACGAGAAGGCCUCAUUUCUGGGAUGCAGGCAUGCAUUUUAACAUAGACUUCAGGACAAAUUAAGUUGAUGUUUGCUGCAGGUUGCUAUGAAAAUUUAAAUUCCACUGAACUCACCCUCAAUCUUUAGUGUUCCUACUGGGUGAUAUUUAGGAUUGGCUCUGGGAACAUGUGUUAAUUUUUCUUAGUAAAACUUAUUUAAAGCUUCAACACUAAUACUUCUCUAAUUUUGGUAUCAUGAUUCAUUCUCAGCUUUAAAAAUAAAGUGUCCUGGAUCAGUUUCCUUUUGCGGUAACUCCAAGCAUAUACAGUUGACUCUUAACAACUCAGGGGUUGGGCUCUGACCCACUUCCCAUGCAGUCAAAUUCACAUAUAACUUUUGACUCCCCAUAAACCAAACCUAACUGCUAAUAGCCUACUGUUGACUGUCAGCCUUACCAAUAACAUAGUCAAUUAACAUAUAUUCUGUAUGUUAUAUGUAUUAUAUACUGUCUUAUUACAAUAAAGUAACUAGAUAAAAUCAAAUGGGCUGGGUAUGAUGACUCAUGGCUAGUAAUCCCUGUAUUUUGGGAGGCCGAGGUGGGAGGAUCAUUUGAGCUCAGGAGUUCAAGACCACCCUGGGCAACAAAGUGAGACCCUGUCUCUACAAACCAGGCAUGGUUGUGCAUGCCUGUAGUCUUAGCUACUCAGGAGGCUGAGGCAGGAGGAUUGCUUGAGCCCAGGAGUUUAAGGCUGCAGUGAGCUAUGAUUGCACCACUGCACUCUAGCCUGGGUGACAGGAUGAGAUCCUGUUGAGUUCAAGACCAGCCUAGCUAACAUGGUGAAACCCCGUCUCUACUAAAAAUACAUAAAAAUUAGCCAGGCAUAGUGGUUGGCGCCUGUAAUCUCAGCUACUCGGGAGGCUGAGGCAGGAGAAUUACUUGAACCUGGGAAGCAAAGGUUGCAAUGAUGAGGAAAAAAAAAUAUAUUUACUGUUCAUUAAGUAGGAGUGGAUCAUAAAGGUAUUCAAUCUCGUUGAGUAGGCUGAGGAAGAGGAGGGGUCUUUCUCAGGGGUGGCAGAGGCAGAAGAAAAUUUGUGUAUAAGUGGACUUGUACAUUUUAAACCCAUGUUGUUCAAGGGUCACCUGUAUUUAAAAUUCCACAUUCAAAUAAAUUUGACCCUUGUGUAUAUUAUUAAUAAUAUACAUAAUUCUUAGAAUAAUAAAUGAAUGUUAGAUUGUAAAAUCAUUGGCCUAGAGGAGUUGCCUAAAGAUUGAAAUAAACCAGCUUCUUGGCUUCUUUAUUUUUUAAAUGAGGGGCAGACACAAAGUAAAUUUCCAAGUCACCUUGAAAUCAGGCACUUUGAAGCCUAGCUAUGAGUAAACUCAGUUAUACUGUCUAAUACCCAUUUUAGCUUUUCUGUUUACAGCAUAAACUUUAAGGCCGGUUUUAGUUCUUUUAAGAAGUCAAAAGCAGAACCUCUCUAGCAGAAGUGUUUUUCAAACAUUAAAUCCUAAACCAAAAAAAAAAGUGACCAAAUUACAGAACUCUAGGAGUUUAUCUUACCUACCUACCGCUGAAAGAGGAUUUUUCUUUUUAAGAAAAUUAGAAUAUUCUGAUGGCCUAAACUUUUCUUGUCAAACAGGUAAAGUCUUGUUAGCCCAGAAAGUAUCUCUUCUUAGGAGUGUUUAGAUUUGUUGAGAGAGAGAAGGCUUUAUUUCUUUUUUAGUAGAGACGGGGUUUCACCGUAUUAGCCAGAAUGGUCUUGAUCUGCUGACCUUGUGAUCUGCCCGCUUGGCCUCCCAAAGUGCUGGGAUUACAGGCGUGAACCACCGUGCCCAGCCUGAGAAGGCUUUAUUUCUAAACUCCCCACUUAAUGUAACACUUUACUUCUUUCUUUUUAUUGAUAUAGAUAAUAUUUGUGCAUGUUUUAGGGGCACAUGUGAUAUUUUCAUAAUUGUAUACCAUGUGUAAUGAUCAAAUCAGGGUAGUUGGAAUAGCUAUCACCUCAAACAUCUUUGUGUUGGGAACAUUACAAAUCUGGCUAUUUUGAAAUAUACAAUAUAAAUUAUUAACUAUAAUUUUCCUACUGUACUGUAAAAUAGUAGAACUUACUCCUUCUAACUUUACUGUUGUACCAUUUAACCAACUUCUAUACAUCCCUCCUUCCCCCACCCCACUUAAUAUAAGCAUCUUUUUUUUUUUUUUUUGAGAAAAAGUCUUGCUCUAUCACCCAGGCUGGAAUGCACUGGCAAGAUCUCGGCUCACUGCAGUCUUUGCCUCCCGAGUUCAAGCAUUUCUCCUGCCUCAGCCUCCCCAGUAGCUGGGAUUACAGGUUUGUGUCACCACACCCAGCUAAUUUUUGUAUUUUUAGUAUAGAUGGGGUUUCAGUAUGUUGGCUAAGCUGGUCUCGAACUCCUGACCUCAGGUGAUCCGCCCACCUCGGCCUCUCAAGAGUGCUGGGAUUACAGGUGUGAGCCACCACACCCAGCCAUAAGCAUCUUUUAAAAAGGUGGAGGGGGGCUAUCAACUGUUAUUUUAAGCAUAGUAAGAGUUCACCCUACUACUUUUACAAUGAAUUACUGCAAGAUGUUUAGACAUUGUGAUCUUUUUAUUACGGUUACUGUUUUCCCUAAAGGUCAAACCAAUAACUUGAGAUCCUGAGGUGCAACUCAAGAGUAGAAGCAUCACUUAAUACUAGUAACUUAAAAGAAUAGCAGAUCUGGCUCGCUGUGGUGGCUCAGGCCUGUAAUCCCAGCACCUUGGGAGGCUGACACAGGUGGAGCACGUGAGGUCAUGAGACCAGCGUGGCCAACAUGGUGAAACCCUGUCUCUGCUAAAAAUGUAAGAAUUAGCUGGGUGUGGUGGCACACACCUGUAAUCGUAGCUACUCAGGAGGCUGAGGCAUGAAAAUUGCUUUAACCCGAGGGGCAGAGGUUGCAGUGGGCCGAGAUUAUGCCACUGCACUCCACCCUGGGUGACAGAGUAACAGUCUCAGAAAAAGAAAAAGGAAUAGUAGUGGGUCUUCAGAUACUUAGAUGUCAUGAGCUGGGACUUUAAUGGGCCAUUUUUAAAAUUUGACAUUAAAAAUUCCGUCCUAAUGCCAGUAAAUAAUUUUCAUCAUUUAAUUCCGCAUGUUUUUGGUAUAUUCAUCUAGCACCUUCUGAAUGUUAUUAGACCUCCUAUAUAGUUAACCUUGGAUAUCAUAUGGUGGUUUGGUAGACUUUUUUUUUUUUUUAAUACACACACGUCUUUUAGCUUGGUUGAUAUGCCCUCAGCCUGAAAGAUAACAACUUGCUUAUUUAUUACACAACCAGAUUACUUGACUCCCUAUGUUUGAAGUCCCCAGUUUAGAUUGGUUAUUAAGUAAGCAUUCAUUAGAUUUUCAAUUAUUUAUAAAAGCUAAAUAUAAAGAACCACAAACUAUUUCAACAAGUUAAUACAGCCAAAGCAUAUAGAUAAAUAUAUGAAACAAUACAGUAAAUACAUGAGACCAAAAAUUCAGUCUUUCAUCAGUCUGGAAAUAAACAAAUAUUUUGUGUGUGAUUGUUUCUGAAACUGCAGACAGGUAUUUUUAAUUCUUAACUCCUACUGUGUUCAGUACAUUAUUCAGAAGAUUAGCCAGGAACAGAAAAUGUGCAAUUUAAUUUCCCUUAGGUUCAAGGUAUAAGCUAAACAGAGUCUUUCCCUGCACAAAUUAUCAAGUUGGCUGUGUUUCACUGGAUAGGAGAUGGGACAGUGGGAAUCUUGUUUGUUCAUUGAUGGGCGUCAUUAUUUAGAUGGUGAGGCAUUUGGCUACCUUGAAAGUCAUCUUUACUCCCUGUUACCCUCACUUUAUUGAAUUUCUUUACUUUGACUUUCAGAGCUCUGGGCAGAAAUCACAUAUUAGUUUGGAGGACUUUGUUAUUUUAUUCAAGUUAAAGUAUAGGGUUUCCCCAAAUUGAAAACCAGAGUAGCCUAUGAUCAUUCCCUGUGGGAUUCUUUAACUGUUAAGGCAAAAGAAAAUGCAGUUGCACUUAAGAGUAUAUGGAUAAAAUAAAGAACUGUGAAGUGAAAAGGGGAGAGAUUUUUUUAAAGAUGACUAUAUUUUAACUCCUCCUGACUAGUAAAUUCAAGGAUACCAGGAAAGAUGAGGUGUAGACUUUAAACCUUCCAACAUUCCAUUGUGUUAAUCAUUCUUCCUCAUCAAAGAGGCAGUAAGGGAUAAUUUAGAGUGACUACAGUUACAAAUAAUGUGCUGUAUAAGCACCCAAGAGCAGAGAUAAGGAUGGAAUUAAGGGUGUUAAAGAAAAUAUGGCCUCUCUUCUUUACCAUUUGAUUGUUUUUGCUGUCCCUGGAGACUCAUAUCUCUCUCUAUUCCUAGGACCAAAGUUUACACAACUGCCAAAUAUAUAAACAAGAACACCCCUUAAAAUUCCUGUGAAACAUUGUACAUCUUAAGAGAGCAGAUGUGUCUAUGGGCUGUCACAAAUAUCAGUCUUGCUAUGUUAAGCAUAAACUUAACAAAUAUUAGUGGAGACACACUAUUUAGGAUUCGCCUAAAACCCUCUAAGAUAGAGGUCCCCAAUCCCGGCCCCUGAUCGGCCGCACCUGCAGGAGGUGAGUGAUGGGCCAGUGAACAUCAUAGCUGAGCUCAGCCUCCUGUCAGAUCAGUGGCCGCAUUAGAUUCUCAUAGGUGUGAGAACCCAAUUGUGAAGUGCACGUGUGAGGGAUCUAGGUUGUGCUCUCCUUAUGAGAAUCUAACUAAUGCCUGAUAAUCUGAGGUGGAAGAGUUUCAUGCCAAAACCAUCCCCUUGCCCUGUCCAUUGAAAAAUUGUCCUCCACAAAACGGGUCCCUGGUGCCAAAAAGGUUGGGAACCACUGCUCUAAGGUGUCCAGUGUUGGCUGACCCCUCUCCCUACUUAUGCACCCAUUGGCUUGCCUAACAGCUGAUUGAUUUCUGUUUAAAUAGACACAGUAUAUUGGGGCAGUUUAUUGCAUCUUUGGUCAUCUCUUUUCCUCUGGGUCCCUAGGACGGAAGACAAUAUCCUAAGUUGAUUCUGUCUAACAAAACAUGAGUAAAAUGAGGAAUUGGUUAGGUAGGUGGCAAACAGCAAAGAUUAUAUGGACUUGUAGCUUGCUCCAUAAGUAGACUUUAACCAAGUAAGCUAUUUGAAAAACAAUCUUAAUUUUUUUCAAGUGUUAUUUUUAAUUCUAUAGGAAUAUUUUCAUAAAAAUAAUGAUGUCCAUUAUGUUAGCAACUAGAAUUACAAUGGCAAGUUUUAGGAGAUGCUUGAAAUGUGAGAUGUUACAUUUAAAACUAUAAAGUUAUCGACCUAAGUAUAUGAUUGUACCCAUGUGGCAGUAAACUUAAAACUUCCAGUUUCAGGUUUUGUUGUUUGUUUGUUUGUUUGUUUUAAAGAGUUGUUAAUGGGGGAAAGGAAAGGAAUAUGUGAGGGAGAUUGGCUUGCAAAGCCUAAAAUAUUUCUUAUGUGGCCCUAUAUAGAAAAAGCUUGUGUAUUCUGGACAAGAGCAAUUAAAGGAAAUAGUUUGGACUUAAAACUUCUAAAAAUAAAUAGUGCUCAAAUUGCACUUGGAAGUCAGAGACCUUGCUGGUCAUCAAAGGGUUCAGUUCAGUCAGUAGUUAGAAAAGACAGAAGCCAGCUUAGCCAAGAGUCAGAAUACAAAUAUUCAGAACCGAUUAAUAGGCAAAUAAUUAUAUAUACCAUGUCCCAGCCAGUAGAUGGAAUAAUAUGCCACCAUUAAAUUUAUAUUAACAUGUAAAAAUGUUUGGAGUUUAGGGCUCUUUACCCAUAUCUUAGUGACAUAGGAAGAAAAUUAAGAUAAAUCACAAGCAACUAGAAAAUAGACAUGUUAACUUUAUUUUAGUACAUACUCUGGUAGGAUUUUUACAUAAUCUUACGUACUAGUCAGCCUUCUUAGAAGUGUCACAUAGUCAAUAUCCUUAAAGAGAAAUGGAAGCUAAUCAGGUAAGUAAAUUGUGAGCUGAGGCCUACAUCAUGCUUGCUAUUCAAAGAGAAUAAAGUAAUUGGAUAAAUGAUAAUGCCUCCUUGUUGGGAAAACAGUCUUCAAAAAUGGCACUAAGUUACAGUUCUAAUGCAAUAGAGUCACUAAUUACUAUGAAUACUUGUUUUACUUGGCAGAUUACUAACAAAGUUAAUUGGAUACAAUAAAUGUAAAGAUUUUCUUUUAAAACGACAGAUUCUUCAGUGAGGUGUAAACAUUUUAUAGAACAAUUAUCAAAGCUAUAUUGGACUUAAAUAUUGGUCAUGAAUGUAUGCACACCCCAUAGGUAGCUGCCCUCCUUGGGCAGCUUUUGACUCCUAUGCCAAAUUUUAAAAUAAAGGCCGUGGCCAGGCGUGGUGGCUCAUGCCUGUAAUCCCAACACUUCAGGAGUCCAAAGCGGGCGGAUCGCGAGGUCAGGAGAUCGAGACCGUCCUGGCUAACACGGUGAAACCCUGUCUCUACUAAAAAUACAAAAAAAAAAAAUUAGCCGGGCGUGGUUGCAGGCGCCUGUAGUUCCAGCUCCUUUGGGAGGCUGAGGCAGGAGAAGGAUCUGAACCCGGGAGGCAGACCUUGCAGUGAGCCAAGAUCGCGCCACUGCACUCCAGCCUGGGCAAGAGCGAGACUCCAUCUCAAAAAAAUAAAAUAAAGGCCAUAUGUUUAAUCACAUUCCCCAAAAGGAGAACUUCAUAAGGCACUAAUGAGUAAUGUUUAUUUUACGAAUGAUUUUACGGGAAAAAUUACAGAGGAUGUUUAAAUUGCAAAAAUACUCCUCCCCUUUUUUCUCCUCCACCGCCCCCCAAAAAAAAUCCUUUGCAGUUAUCACCUAAGCUUUUUGGGUGUGUGAUUUAAAAAAAAAAAAAAAAAACCACAAGACCUACCUUAACAAUUUAAGUAUGCAGUAUUGUUUCUUCUCAGCUGCCCAGUCUUUGUAAUUCUUAUUUCUUAUGCAGAACAAUUUAGCAUUUGACCCUACUAUCACCAAAAAAAAAAAAAAAAGAAAAAAAUAUAUAGCAGUUGAGGGCAGUAUACAAGCUUAGUAAGUAUAUUCUGGUACUUGCUUAGGAAGUAGGAAAUGUGAUCAGAUUCUGUUCUCUACCAUAUGACACUGAUUUGCAAGGCCCCGGGUACAGGACUACUGGUAAAAAGAACCCUGUAACUUCCUGUCACAGAGGGACACAGCAAUAUAUAUAAAACAGCAUCUGCCGUAAAUCUUUGGGGAACGUCUUACUAGAUUUAACCAGCUAAUUUUACUAGGUAUUUAGGAAAGUGUGACUGCAGUUCAGGGUCUUUGUUUUUUCUUUUAAGACAGGGUCUGGCUUUGUUGCUCAGGCUGGAGUGCAGUGGCAUGAUCAAGGCUCAUUGCAGCCUCAGCAUCCCUGGGCUGCAGCGAUUCUUCCACCUCGGCCACCCAAAACUGGGAUUAUGGGUGUGAGCCACCACACCUGGCCUCUUAUAUCUUGAUUAAGGUCCUGUCUGGGCCUACAAAGGUUCAAUUUGCUUAACCCCAGCACUUUCCCUCAACAUGGAGGUCCUUAGUCAACAUUAACCAAGGUAAUAAAGAGUUGAAAGUUUUAAUCAUAAGUAGGUGGAGGAGCAUUUAAACUGGUUUAAUAAACUUGAAAUAUGAAUACCUUAAAUAUUCGAAUAACAAAGCACUGGUGAAACAGGUUUUUCUAUGGAAAGACCACAAUUUUCUAUCCAGCACAUUUCAUUUGACUGGGUUCCUUUGUUUCUGUAAUAAAUAGGACUUUGAGAAUUCCAAAUCAAAUUUGCACUUUUGCACAAAAGGUUCACUUGGUGACUCUCAUGCCUCCAUAAGUGUGUUCCAUCUGAUUCUGCACAACCUACUGCCUUCAGGGUAUCCUGGGACCAGCCAAAGAGAUGAUUCCAACCAGUGGAAUCAUCAUUAAACUAGUGGUUCUUAAAAUAUGGACACUGAGUCAACCUGCAUCAGAAUUACUGUAGAUUCUGGACAAAUGUACGAAGUCAACAUCAAAUCAGUGCUACAUUUUGAAAAGGUAACUGUAAUAAAAAGAUUUUUUUGAGAUACUGAAAUUGCAGUGAAGACAAUGUUCCCACCUUUUUAAAAUGGUGUAAUAUUAGGUUCAUUUAUGGAAUGUUUUAUGAAGCAGAUUUGUAUUUUAACAAGCCUUUUAGGAAUGCAGAUAUUAUAGGGGAUAACAUGAAUGGUGGUAAAGAGGGGGGCAUAUUUGAGCAAUGAUUUUUCAAGAGCUAUGAAUUUACAGUGCAAUCCUAGCAGGAAAAGAGAGGGAGAAAAGAACAUCUAUUUUGAGCUGCAGACAUAAUUGCAUCACAGCUGAGAUUUCAUAGUCCCCGUCCUCUCUAUUCCUGUUGAAUUACAUGAUUAAAGGUAACUAUAUAUAUAUGAAUAUAUGAAGAUGUUUAAUUGUUGCAGGUUGGAGAAUUUGGGCCAGGGAGAAUUCACUUGGCCAAUGAGUUAAAAAUGAGAAAAGGAUUAGCAGUCAUCAAAAUUUCUAAGUAGUUAAUUAUCUGCAUGGUGGGUUCAGUAUAAACAAACAUGGUACUCUCAAAUGACUGUUGAUGGGCUAUUAAAUUACAUUAGUAUCCUGUGAACCCUGGUCAUAGCUGGAAAGGAGAAUCUUUUGAGAAAUGGAAAAACCAGGUUAUUUGUACAUAAGGAAUAUGUCUUUUAAACACCCCCAAAGUAUAGAUUAAGACGUGAUUGAUGAAAAGUCUCCAUUUUCUAAUGAUGGUUUUAUGAAACCAAAGUAUUUACAACUAAGAACCAACCAUCUGAUCGCCAGUAGAGAGUGGAAAAUAGGAAAGGGUAACGUCUCAGUAUGGUAUCUGGAGUAGUCUGGCUAGGACCAUAAACUUCAUUUUGUUUACAAGUUCCCAGAAAAUAAGCCUGAAUGAGCUUAGAGCUUAAUACUUCCAGUGAUGGUUCUCUCUUCCCUCAAGUAUACAGAUUAACUAUUUUUGUGCCGUGGGCCUUUUGACAGCCCCCAAAAGCCCGUGGAUCCCAUCUCAGAAUGUUUUACAUGUGUAUUACAUAAUGCUCACACAUUCUAAAUUUUAUCUACCGACUCCUAGUUAGAAAUCCCUUGCAAGGGGUGUUAGGGUUCUGAGAGAAGGCUGGUAAGUAAUGAGGCUUUUAACUUAUUUCAGUAUCCUGUUCAGGUCGGGAAUAUGUUGUGUUCUAAUUACUCUAGUUUCCAGCUCAAUUGGUGUUGGAGAAACUAGCCCACUUAUAAGUGGCUCAAAUGAAAACCCACGGGGAGGCAUUUUUCUUUAAUAAGCAACCCUAAGCCCCCUUUGAAGUCAGUCUGACUAAUCAAAAGAAAGAGGUUAUAUAUCCCAGUUUUGACCUUUUGUGAAAAUAGCCCUUUUACUGUAUGUGAUAUAUUAUUGGCAUCUCAUUCUGCACAGUCCAAAUGAUGUAGACAAAAUAGUGAUUGGUAUAUAACUAUGGACACCGAAGAUCCACUGCAAGGCCUGCCGAUCACUUUACACAGAAGGAGCCCCUUUCCUGAGGUCCGCUUGCUCGCUCGGGGUGGGGUGGUACUUUGCCCUAGUAAACUACCAAGCAGUCCGAACGUUCGCUCCUCUGGAAGACCGAGUUGUGGGCGGCUGCGCUGCGGGGGCAAACUCGCCGCAUGCCCGCUGGCCAGAGCGAGUCGGGGCCUGGCGUUAGGGCAAUCCAGACUGGCCGGCAUGGUACAGGGCGUAUCCCUAGCCGCCUUCUGUGUCAUAUGGGGCGCCGCCCUCCAGCCUAGGAGAGGCGGCCGCUAGGAGGGGCAGAAGGGCCUUGUCUGCCCCGGUCUGAAUACCCCAGGCGGGGUCGGAAAGCGGGUCACAGAAGAGCCCAGUAAACUGCAGGGGUGCAGCUCGUCUCCAGGAACCGGCAACCCCCAGGGCCGCACAAGCCGGUAACAACCCAUAAUCCGAUCCUGUCUUCGGGAUCAGAAGAGAGGACAGCUGGCCCGCGCGCCAGCUCAGUUCCUCCUCCGCAUUCUUCAGGAGGAGCCCCAGAAACGCACUUCCGCCGCGCGGGCCUGCCUCCACGCAGGGCGCGUCCUAGGCCGGUUCAUUUCCGCCCAGCGCUUUCUGUGGCUAGGGGAGUCAGGGGUUUCCUUUUCCCUUAUUCGGGCUCUUAUGUUACCCCCGUUUUCCGUUGAACCCUUUUCUCCCCUCUUGCCCUCCAAAAAAGCAGUCUGCUGCCGCUCCCGACUUUUCUCGCUGAGACACCGUCAGCUCACUCCGAGCCCAGCACAGCGGCCAUCUUCGGUAAAUUCUGGCAGCAGCCCGCCUGUUCAUUGUCCUGUGUGCCCAGAGGAAAGAACUACUCAUUUUUCGUGAUCAAGCUAGGGGAGGCAGGAGCAAUAAUGGCCCUGCUAUAGGACUGGCUUUUAUUUGAAUUCCAACUCUUCUGCCACCUUAACCAGCUGUAUCCAGAUUUUAAAAGUUAAUCUAUCCGAGCCUCUUAUUAAAUAUUAGGUUGAUGAGAUGAUGCAUGCAAAGCGCUUAGAACAGUACUAGGCAUAAAGCGUCCGACAUAAAGGUUAAGUAAAAGUAAGGAAAAGCUAUGGGGAUGUAUUGAGUAUCUCUUUGCCCAAUGACGUAUUAGUCGUAUUAAAUAUGGAAAGUGCCUUUGAUUCGCCGUGCCCAUGGGAGAAGGCAUAGGAAUGGCCUUUUCCCACCUGUAAUCAGAGAGCAGGUGUUUCAAGAACGCCUCAAUAUGUUUGCGAUCUCUCACGCAGCCUUUCAGGCUCCUAAUUCCUACGAAGUUUCCGCUUUUAUUCAAAUUGGCUCACUCCUUUUUGCAGGGCUUUGUACUGAAUGAGUAUUCUUUUAAGGGUGGUGGACAAGCAAAGGUUUGGUAGCAUCACAUUUUUAAUUUCACAGGGAAAAUGGGUAUGAAACAUCUUCCCAAGUACAUCUUAGACUGCCAGCUGACAGCAAGCCAUAAUGCUCCCCAGCUCUUGGGCCCUACACCCCCUCUCCCCCAUCCCCGCUUUAGUUCUUUGUCAUUGCUCAUGGACAGCUGGUUUGGGGACCAGGUGCAGAUGAUGGGAGGUGUCUGAAAAACAGCAAGUGAGAAAUGCUAGUUUUGUUGUUUUAAGUUGCACUGAUGACUCCAGUAGUUAUCUGUGCUGCUUGUGAUAAUUUAUAAGGCAAUGAUAACGAAUUAAACAUACAAAAGAUUAUUAUCUUCCACAGGAAAAAAAAACUGCAAACUUGUGACACCAUUUAUGAUCCACUUAGUCUUGAGAUACUGAGUAAUAGAACUUUCUCCUUUUAGGCUGAGUUAUGAACUUCGGUUUGGUUUCUUUCUGCAAUCCCUGCAGGGCCAUAAAUUCUUGGCCCUUAAGACUGGGUGGCCCAUAACAGACUCAGUGAUACCAUCAGUAACCACAAUUCACACUGGAGUCAAGUUAUCUGAUUCCCACACCAGUUGGAGAACUGGAGAUUCCUUAGAACUUUUAACUGUCAUGUUUUCAAAGUUGACAUGGAAAAUUUUACAUGAAGCUUAAAAAUACAACUAAUCUGUGGUGAUAGAGACGAGAAGAGUUAAGCUCUAAAAUUAGAAGAGCAGUUCGUUUUGAGGCAGCACUGAUUGGGAGGGAGCAUGGAGUAUAUAAUUACACAUUUCUAUGUAAUGUAAAAAUGUAUAGAUUUAAGAUUUAUGCAUUUUAUGUAAAUUUUACUACAAUAAAACGAAAAUGAAAGAAGACAGAUCAUAGUUUAAUCAAAUAUUGUGUACAAAGUAAUUUCUGUUAAACAUUUAUAUUUUUAUGUGUAUAUGUAUCUUUUACAUGUAUGUGUUAAGGAUAUGCAUUAAAAUGGUAAUAACUUCCUCUGCCUGUUGGGAUAAUGGAGAGUUUUGUUACUUUUUGUCUUUUUUUAAAACAUGUUCUUCAAUAAUAAUGUAUUGCUUUUGUAAUUAUGAAAAACAAAAGUUAUUUUGUAAAUCUUUGUUACUGAUAAGAGAUGGGUAUUCUGUUAACUACUCAAUUCUCAUGUAGGAAAACAAAAUAAAUAAUGUCUAUUUGAUAAAUCGAGAAACAGAAGCAUUACUUAGAAAUCUGAGUUACCUCUAAAAUAAUGACUGGCAUUUGAAGUUGAGGAUGGGUCUUGAGUUCCUGUGAUUUUAAGCUCUUGGAUAUGAGGGUUGGGUGAGUUCCUCUUUUUCUCUUUUAAAAUAUAUGUAUGUUUAACUUUGCUAAAUAAAAUUUAAAAGAUGCAAUGUAUCUCAGUGCAAUUUUUAAAAAUUUAUUUUCAUCCAGGUUACUCUACCCUUUCCCUUUGUCAUUCAGCAGGCAGAACAAGGAAAAAUUAAACUUCUAACUGAAAGGAACUUUGAAUAGCAAUCAAUAUCAAAUUAGAGACAAAAUAUAAAUAUUGCUCAAUAUAAAAUGAGGGUUUUUCUUAAUUGAGGGGACAGAAAUACAGCUUCUCAGUUAUCAUAAAUUGCAUCUUUUUUGGGGAGGGCCUUUUUGGCUUGCAUCCAUUACCAAUUAUAUAUCUUUCACUACUGUGGGAACUGCAUUAUGGAAACAGCUAAAGCUUGUGUAUUUAGCGCCCUCUAGUGCAUUAUCUUAUAACUGAUAAUACUCCAAACAGCUAGAAAAAAUGUAAAUCUCAGUCCACCUCCCCUCUUUGCACCUACAUGUUUCCUAGCCAUGAGACAUUAGGCUGUGACCUCACAGUAGUUCUUUAAUCUCUAGGCUUCAAUUUUCUCAUUUGUAAAAUGAGGACGAUAAUAAAUACUAGAUAGGGUCCUGAGAACUAACUGAAUGGUCUAUGCUUGUGACAUGAAUGCCUGGCACAUAGUAGAAGCUCGAUUAGUGCUAGCUACUCUAACAUAUAAAUAGAUCGAGUCAGUACUAACAUGAUUAAAGACAAGUAAUCUUGACUCAGAUGUCAGAAUCUGCUAGUAGGAAAGUGGAAAAUGUUAAAGAGGAACCAAAAAAUAAAGAAUGAAGGCCUGGGUUUGAUACUCAUCUUUGGUUCCCUUUUGAGUCAAUUGAUGCCAAUUCUGAAGUCUGGGAACAUGUUAAAUUCCUUUGCAUCCUUCACAGUGCAUAUAAUUGCACACUGUCAACAAAUAUUUGUGUUAAUAUUCAAGCUAAAUGGUUAGCAAACAAGAUGAAGAAUGACAGAAAAUAAUAAUUAGUAUAAAAAUUUGUAUUUGGAUUCAACUUUCUGUUAUUUGAGGCAGAAGCCAAAUGCCAUUUUUUGGAUUGUAGCUUCGGAACAGGCUGUGGACAAGAUUUGUGUUACCCGUGUGCAAAUGAGCAGCAUAAUUAUACUGUGUGUUUCAUAUGUUCGCUAUGUGACUUUUGUGACUCAUUACUGACAACGACAAUAGUAGGUUCUAGAAUCCUGCCGUCAUCCAUUCUCACCCAUUUUCAGCAUUGCAUAGGCUAUACAGCUAAAAUUUACUUCCUCAGACACAUUCCAAGAGAUACCUUCUCUCCACAUAGUCUACAUGACCAUCUAUAGUUCUUUUCCUGCACUGACAGACAUAGACUUUGGUACUUAAUACCAGUACUUCUUGGGCUCUCCAAGAACCCAGUUGCUUGAGGAAAGCAUUGGGUGCUUCUCACCCUGAGUCCCUGGAAUCUUUGGUUGGGCCUGUAUAUAAUAAAUGUCCCCAUUGCUUAUUUUUCUUGUGUGCUUUAUAUUAGACAUGUCACAGUGUUGUCUCUCCUUCCCUUCCAUUGCCUCAGUGCUAAACCAGACCAAUUUUCUCAUGAAAGGUACAUGAUACAGGUAACCAUGCAUUGUGCCUCUAUUAAUGCUUAUACAUUAUGCUAAGCAUUUUACAUCCACUACUUCUUUCACAACCACAUCCAGUAAUAGAGUAUUCCCAUUUUCCAGAGGGGAGAAUUGCCCUAGUUCACACAGAUAAAUGGCAGAGCCAGACUUCCAACCCAAGUCUGCCUCUAGAAUCUGUGGAUUCAACACUGCAUCAGAAACUCCAAAGGGAAAAUUUUGAGUUGUCUGUCUCCAGAAAUUCCUGCAAGGAAAAUCAUGAAGCUCCCUUUAGGCACUAAGCCAUAAGUUCUGAGGCUUCAUCCUUUUCAAGAAAACCCACCUACCUAGCCCUGAUAAUUAUUAGAACUGCGAUGACUCACAUUUACUUGGCACCUCACAGUUUUCAAAGGUUGGCCCAUGGGGUAUCUCAUUUUAUUUUCCAGAAAAUCUUUUGCGUUCAUCAUCAACUGAGUGUCCAAGCUGGUGAAGCAAGUUCUUUUCUGGCAGAAGAUUGCAGCUCCUAUUAUUUACCCCCCAGGGGAUAAACUGCAAAUCCCAGGCCUUACAGCUGGGAACACAGAGCUAGCUGUGCAAGCAUAUAAAAAACCUUGACAAAGCAGGAGGGGGGUUCACAUACUGGCUAUCCUCAUUACAGUGCAUUGGGCAAGGAGCUCUCCCACUGGAAGCUGUAUCACAGAACCACAGGCACUGCCUUGGCGGGCAAAACCACAUUCAGCAGUUCUUCAAUCAGCCAGGGCCUUCCCUGCCCGUGUGCUCAUUCAUUUAUGCUACGCAUGUGGUCUCUUAUAAUUGCUUUUCCUCUCCUUAACUCUCUUUUCAUACCCCAGCCCCUACCCCCAACUCCCUCUUGUCCUUAAAAGCUUCUUCCUGCUUUACACCUUAACCUCUUUGUAGGAUCCCAGUAAAUGCCAAGGCUUGUGGGGGUGGAAGAUUAUAAAUCAAAGCCACAGACACAGACAUGGGGGAGGAGCCACCCAGGGGGUGGAAGGGCCACAACUUCAAAACAAAUGAGCCUCUUUCAUCCCAGUGGGAUUUUUGUUUUUUAAGGUCUGCAGUUCCGGUGGGGCAUUAAAUCAGAAGCUAUGGUUUCUGGGAUUUAUAGGAAGAACAACAACUAGAGAGUUGUCCAUAUGUGUUCCCUGAGUUUCAGCAAAACUUGGGGGCCUAGAGAAGUCCUGUUAUUUUUAAAAAAGUGUCGUUUCUCCGUUAACAAAAUAGGUUUCACAUUUUAAAAGCAGCUUAAAGCAUAGCAUCAACCAUUCUUCCUCCACAAUUGAGAAGUUCCAUUAAAUGAUAGAAGGGGUCAGAUUUGAGAUAUCUGACUAAAUAUUAUUUAAGAAAAGUUAAAUUUUGUCAGUUCUCAAUUAUCUGUGCUAGUGGAGGGGAUCCAGGGACAGAAUUCCACUGGGACUUUAAUUCACUUGUUGAUUUGCAUUUGGCAUUAUGAGGCAUUUUAGUAAUGAACACUUUAAUAUGGGUGUGCCUGCAGUUCUGGAAAUUUACAACUGUUUAUAGCAAAUAACAAAGCUACUCAGUGAAGAUGCUGACAGGGCUGGAAUGCUGUCAAAUGACUUUUCCAGCCUCUGGACCAACUCUGUUUACUGAGGCCUGGAAACAAAAUAGGCUUUGGCUUCAGACAGGAACGUUUAAAUCCUUAGACUCACAUUAUCAAGUAGUUUAGGAAAAAAAAAAAAAUCCUGAUGCUGCUGUGUAAUUUUUCAGAUUCUUCAUUUGAAAAAUGGGAAAAAGAAGUAAUAUCACGUACCUUGACCAUGGUAUCAGAGAAUGACCUCAGAAGUUGUGAGGGAAUUCUCAGACAAAACUUUGAAAUAUAAUCCAGGAUUCAAUCAGUAUAAAGGACGCUCAGCAUAACCCAAGAAGGUCACAGACCAGAAUCACUGGCUGAAACCUCUGGCAGUGACCAACCUCAACUCAAAAGCAAGCCUGAAAUCCCAAGAGGAGGUUGGUGAAUAAAGAGAAAUCAGAAAGGGACUGUCAGAUACCAACCCCCAACCAACCAGGGCUUUUCCCCACAUCACCACUCCCUGAAGGAACAGCGACAACUGAGGGAGUGGAAACACAUUUGGGACACGUGAUGCAAAGGUAACCUGGUGGCUCAUUUAAGGGCUGUGUGACUUGGAUUGGUCAUCAUCCUUUCUCCAGAUGGAGUUUCCCUUUUUACAAAAAGAUCUAGAAAAUCAGCUGUACUAGCAUAGACAGUGCUGCAGUAACAAAUUAGCUCUGGAGUCUUGGCUUAACACAGUAAAAGUUUAUUUCGUGUUUUCAUUAAAUGACACAUACAGGUUGGUGGUGGAAUGGGAAGUGGAGAUGGGAAUUCUGCUUAAGCACCCUGGUUGAUAGAGGCUCUGGCACUUGCAGCUAUAUUACUGGAGCCUUGGGCCAUCACCAUCUUGGCCGUAGAGGGAGAGAAUGCAUAGAGAAUUCACAUGUGUCCUAUACUUCAGCCUGGAAGGGACACAUAUCACCUCUGUCUCAGUGGUUGGACAGAACAAACUACAGAUGGACUGGGACAGAUGGGGAAGCCUAUGGAUAUUUGGUGAGCAAUACAAUAAAUGCCUCUGCCACAACAGCCUUUUAAUGCUGUGUGCAUGUUACUACGUGUUAUGGCAUCUCAGAAUUCCAGACAGAUCUUUUGGAUCCUAAUCUGCUGGGAUGUCUCAUCUAAGAUUCUUAUUUAUUUCCUGAGCACCUAAUAGGCAGUCCUCGUGUCAAAAACAGCACACCAGUGGGUUCUGCAUAAUGAUUUUACCUCUAGAGUUUUCC
rnacentral:lncRNA from 1 species